rnacentral:rRNA from 2 species
AAACCGGAGCUAAUACCGGAUGACAUUAAGGAACUCCUGUUCCUUAAUUGAAAGAUGGCUUUUAGCUAUCACUUACAGAUGGGCCCGCGGCGCAUUAGCUAGUUGGUGAGGUAACGGCUCACCAAGGCGACAAUGCGUAGCCAACCUGAGAGGGUGAUCGGCCACACUGGGACUGAGACACGGCCCAGACUCCUACGGGAGGCAGCAGUAGGGAAUCUUCCGCAAUGGACAAAAGUCUGACGGAGCAACGCCGCGUGAGCGAUGAAGGCCUUCGGGUCGUAAAGCUCUGUUGUUAGGGAAGAACAAGUGCUAGUUGAAUAAGCUGGCACCUUGACGGUACCUAACCAGAAAGCCACGGCUAACUACGUGCCAGCAGCCGCGGUAAUACGUAGGUGGCAAGCGUUGUCCGGAAUUAUUGGGCGUAAAGCGCGCGCAGGCGGUUUCUUAAGUCUGAUGUGAAAGCCCCCGGCUCAACCGGGGAGGGUCAUUGGAAACUGGGAAACUUGAGUGCAAAAGAGGAAAGUGGAAUUCCAAGUGUAGCGGUGAAAUGCGUAGAGAUUUGGAGGAACACCAGUGGCGAAGGCGACUUUCUGGUCUGUAACUGACGCUGAGGCGCGAAAGCGUGGGGAGCAAACA